GUGGGGAAUCUUAGACAAUGGGCGCAAGCCUGAUCUAGCCAUGCCGCGUGAGCGAUGAAGGCCUUAGGGUUGUAAAGCUCUUUCGUGGGGGAAGAUAAUGACUGUACCCCAAGAAGAAGCCCCGGCUAACUCCGUGCCAGCAGCCGCGGUAAUACGGAGGGGGCUAGCGUUGUUCGGAAUUACUGGGCGUAAAGCGCACGUAGGCGGACUGGAAAGUCAGGGGUGAAAUCCCGGGGCUCAACCCCGGAACUGCCUUUGAAACGCCCAGGCUUGAGUUCGAGAGAGGUGAGUGGAAUUCCGGGGGUAGAGGUGAAAUUGGUAGAUAUACGGAGGAACACCAGGGGCGAAGGCGGCCUGCUGGACAUUAACUGACGCUGAGGCGCGAAAGCGUGGGGAGCAAACAGGAUUAGAAACCCGGGUAGUCC
rnacentral:rRNA from 1 species